rnacentral:rRNA from 1 species
UACGGGGGGGGGUAAGCGUUGUUCGGAAUUACUGGGCGUAAAGGGCUCGUAGGCGGCCAACUAAGUCAGACGUGAAAUCCCUCAGCUUAACUGGGGAACUGCGUCUGAUACUGGAUGGCUUGGAUUCGGGAGAGGAAUGCGGAAUUCCAGGUGUAGCGGUGAAAUGCGUAGAUAUCUGGAGGAACACCGGUGGCGAAGGCGGCAUCCUGGACCGGUAUUGACGCUGAUGCGCGAAAAGCCCAGGGGGAGCAAAACA